rnacentral:rRNA from 1 species
UGGGGAAUAUUGCGCAAUGGGGGCAACCCUGACGCAGCCAUGCCGCGUGAAUGAAGAAGGCCUUCGGGUUGUAAAGUUCUUUCGGUGACGAGGAAGGUUGUUGUGUUAAUAGCGCAACAAAUUGACGUUAAUCACAGAAGAAGCACCGGCUAACUCCGUGCCAGCAGCCGCGGUAAUACGGAGGGUGCGAGCGUUAAUCGGAAUAACUGGGCGUAAAGGGCACGCAGGCGGCUAUUUAAGUGAGGUGUGAAAUCCCCGGGCUUAACCUGGGAAUUGCAUUUCAGACUGGGUAGCUAGAGUACUUUAGGGAGGGGUAGAAUUCCACGUGUAGCGGUGAAAUGCGUAGAGAUGUGGAGGAAUACCGAAGGCGAAGGCAGCCCCUUGGGAAUGUACUGACGCUCAUGUGCGAAAGCGUGGGGAGCAAACAGGAUUAGAUACCCUGGUAGUCCACGCUGUAAACGCUGUCGAUUUGGGGAUUGGGCUUUAAGCUUUGGUGCCCGUAGCUAACGUGAUAAAUCGACCGCCUGGGGGAGUACGGCCGCAAGGGUUA